rnacentral:rRNA from 1 species
GACGAACGCUGGCGGCGUGCCUAAUACAUGCCAGUAGAACGCUGAAGAGAGGAGCUUGCUCUUCUUGGAUGAGUUGCGAACGGGUGAGUAACGCGUAGGUAACCUGCCUUGUAGCGGGGGAUAACUAUUGGAAACGAUAGCUAAUACCGCAUAACAAUGGAUGACCCAUGUCAUUUAUUUGAAAGGGGCAAAUGCUCCACUACAAGAUGGACCUGCGUUGUAUUAGCUAGUAGGUGAGGUAACGGCUCACCUAGGCGACGAUACAUAGCCGACCUGAGAGGGUGAUCGGCCACACUGGGACUGAGACACGGCCCAGACUCCUACGGGAGGCAGCAGUAGGGAAUCUUCGGCAAUGGGGGCAACCCUGACCGAGCAACGCCGCGUGAGUGAAGAAGGGUUUCGGAUCGUAAAGCUCUGUUGUAAGUCAAGAACGAGUGUGAGAGUGGAAAGUUCACACUGUGACGGUAGCUUACCAGAAAGGGACGGCUAACUACGUG